UUAGGCGACCCCUGUGAAAGGGUCGUUUGACCACCAAAGGGGUCGCAACCCACAGGUUGAGAACCGCUGGCAUACAUGUUUUAAAGCCACCACAGUAACCAUUAUUUUUAGGUUAACUUACAUUAUUGCCUUUGAAAUUGGCCUUUUAACUAACAGUGUUCUAAACGUUUUUAAAAAGGGCUAGAUUUUACUGUUAUAUUGUGUUUUGAAAGAUUCUUGUGUCUUUAUUAUGAUGGUUUGUUUUAUUCUGUAACUCCCCACGGUUUUCUUGACAGUUGAUUUAACGAUUGGCUCUCAUUCAAUGCUGUGUAAUUUUAGUUUACAUUUCAUGUCAUUUUACCAUCAAGAAAGGUAUCUUCCUUUGGUGUAAUACUUUAUAUAAUGGUUGGUUACGUGCUAAUACUUAAUAUUUUAUGUGGUUUUCUCAGAUAAAACCAACCUGUAAUCACAUAAGUAACUCAGAACUGCUUGGUUAGUUUUUUAAGUGAGCCAUUCUAAGAAUUUCCAAAACCUUUGCCUAACUUUCACUGUGAAAAUAUUACCUAAUUUUUGUCUUAAAGGACACGUUUCCUUUUUCUUUAUAACUAAUUAAGGAUCUUGUGGAAAUUCAUGUGGUUUCUAUCAUGGUCACUCGGCAUUUAUUAGAACUAUGACAUUUCAAUUGAAAGAUUGUUUUCUAAGGGAAACGUACAUUCAUUAUAUGUUUUCCCAUAUUUUCUUUUUCUUCCUUUUUAUAUACUACAACUCUUCUGAUUGCUUUUCCUCCCUGACACUACCUGAAGUAUUGUGGUUAACCACAUUUUGUAAAAGGUGGAAGAUUUCUACAUUCUGAAGAAUAAGUUUUUAGAAACUGAAAAAUUAGGAAACCAGCUGGAGGUGGAAGGCGUGGUCACUUGCAGACAAGUAAAUGUGGGCUGUACCAGAACAGAAACAGGGAGCUAAAAGGUAAUCUGAACCUCCCAGAAGCACCUUAGGAGGCAAGUGGACAGCAAAGAUCUUCAGAGUGAGUGGCGUAACUUCUGCAAAAACUGUUAGCAAUAAACCAUCUAAUCAAUGUCUUCUCUCUC